UCCUAAUUAUAUUCUAAUUUACAGUUAAUUUACACUAAUUAAAGGAUUUACAAUAAUUAAGGGAUUCUAACAUGAAGUUAGUUGGGAAAAGAAGGCAUAUUUGUGGCAAUUUGCGGAAACAAUCAAGGGUUUUGGUGGGGGAGAUUGUCAAUCCCCAAGAGUUGGGCAUGCAAGGAAGGCCAAGGCAAGAGGAACACUUCAGUAGUGCCUUGCUAGAAUUUUCUAGAACGUUGGAGAAGUGCCCAGUAAGUGCUAGAUCGUGCCGGAAGUGUGGGGAGAAUUAUGGGGCGUGCUGGUGAGUGCUGGAGCAUUCAGCAUGCUAGGAUUGGCUAGAAGGUGCUAGGAAGCCUUCCUUGGGCUGGCAAGUUUCUGGAGAAUUCUAGAAUUGUCUACAAGGUGUUGGUUGCCUAUACCAAGUAUUGGAUGACUGUAGACUCUUUCUUAGUGCACUGUAUGUCUAAGUAAUUGCUAGAAAUAUAUAGAAAAUUCUAAAGACUUGCUGCACACCACAUGUUUGAGGCAAAUUCUCCAUCACACAUUUGAGGAAGUGGAUUGCCUAUAAUAAGGAUGGCUAGAAUUUAGAAUGUGCAAUGUGAGAGUGAGUCCCUAAGAGCUCUAUGUAUAGCAUUCUAAUUGUAAAACUAUUCUUUGUAAAUAAUAUUCUUUCUUUUUGUGCAAUUCUCUACUCUUACGUAUUGUGUGUGAGUGAGGGUUUGCCUAAGGUUUUAGUUGGUUGGGAAGUCUGACUUAGUUUAGUUUAAGAGUGGGAACCGAGCAGGUGCUGACAAGCAAGAAAGUCUUGUGUCGUGACAGGCCGCAGCUAAUAUGUCUAUACUGGUGGUUUGUGUUGUUUGGAAAUUUGCAUCAAUUCAUUGUUCCAUUUUUGUGUCUUCUAUUGUUGAGUGUUCAUGUGCAUACUAUGUAGGUGUUAUUCAGUUGUUUGCACUCAUUUUCAAUUGGAGAAUAGAAAGCACCAUUAUGCAUGGGAAGUCAACUUUCUAGGCCUGAAUGGCAACUAUUUCUGUUAUUUCUUCUCAUUUGGACGAUGUUUGCAGCAUAUCUGUAACAUUUGUGGAUAAGGAUGGAGAGGAAAAGAACCUCAAUGUGCCAAUUGGAAUGUCUAUGUUAGAAGCUGCUCAUGAAAAUGACAUAGAACUUGAAGGAGCAUGUGAAGCCUCACUUGCCUGUUCAACAUGUCAUGUGAUUGUCAUGGAUGUGGAAUACUACAACAAAUUAGAAGACCCUACUGACGAGGAGAAUGACAUGUUGGAUUUGGCCUUUGGGCUCACACAAACUUCUCGAUUGGGUUGUCAGGUGAUUGCAAAGCCUGAACUUGAUGGAAUUCGCUUAGCUAUUCCAGCUGCCACAAGAAAUUUUGCCGUUGAUGGGUAUGUUCCAAAACCUCACUAGACAUGGAGCAACACUGGAAAGUGUAUGCUGAGCGUAAAGGACGCAUUCAUCCCAGUUUUGUAGCCUACAAUAUUGUAUUCAACCAAUGAUCAUCUCCAGUCCUAGUCAUUUUUCCGUGCCAUUGUUUAUUACAUAUUUGUUUCACCUAAUAAUUUUUGAGUGGAACUAACUUGCAUCAUGACAAAGGGAAGAUGGGAUUGAGACCAUCGAAUCCCAACAAAUAAUGACAAAAGGGAAUGACUUAUGCAUUACAAUACUAAUGUUCUUAUAAUUCCACCUUUCUAUCGUAGAGCUUUUUACCUUGAGC
rnacentral:misc_RNA from 1 species